UACGGAGGGUGCAAGCGUUGCUCGGAAUUAUUGGGCGUAAAGCGCGUGUAGGCGGUUUUGCAAGUCUGGUGUGAAAUCCCGGGGCUCAACUCCGGAAGUGCAUUGGAUACUGCUUAACUAGAGGACGAGAGAGGAUGGUGGAAUUCCUGGUGUAGGGGUGAAAUCCGUAGAUAUCAGGAGGAACAUCGGUGGCGAAGGCGGCCAUCUGGCUCGUAUCUGACGCUGAGACGCGAAAGCGUGGGGAGCAAACAGG
rnacentral:rRNA from 1 species